UAAAAAUAUUUUAUUGUUUUUUUUACAAUGUUCUUUGAUUUUAUAGACAAUAAAAAUUGGAAAAAAAAUGUUUAUGUAUUGUAUGUACUUCUAAACAAAAUUAAAUUAAUAUCUUUUAUGUCAUGGUGGCAGGAAAAUGGAGAAUGUCUAUGGUAUAGCAGAGUUUUUGCCUUGGAGAUGGAAUUUCUGAAAUUGGUAAAUUCGUUUAGAGUUUGAUGAAACCUAUCGCCCAAUACCGCUUUUCUAUCGGCAGAAAAAGUAGUUAAAAUUAUGGUUGAAGUUUUCUAAGUCCAACCAAUUUUUCUAUUAUUACGAUUUGUCAUCGAUUAAUUCUUUGAAGACUAAGAUAUUUAAACGUAAAAAUUGCUUUGUUUUUGUACUUUUUUUACUAACUUUGUUUACAUGUUUUUUCUAUUUAUUAUUUAUAUAUUAUAUUAUAAUAUUAUAAUAUCUUUAGAUCUAAUGUACUAAAAUGUUUAGGAUUAAUUUUUGAAAAAUGCUAAUGUCAUAGAUUUUGGUUUGUAUGUAAAAUGGAUAUUUUUCCAAUAAUAUUAGGGACGAAUUUAUUGUUUUAAUAUAGUGGACAAAAUCCGUUAAAGGCGAUCAAAAACAAAUAACUCUGUUAUUUCCGAUCUGCUAUAUUCAACCCGCUAUUUCAAAUUUUAUAGAUUUAAUAUUAUAAUCGAUUGGGAACUUUUAAAAAUAAAAUUUCUUUGGAUUAGAUUUUUUCAUAUAUUAAGUAAAAGAACUAAACUCAUUUUGUUCGGUAUAUCGUAUUAAAUUUUAAAAUUUUGAUGUAUAUAUGGAUUCAGCGACCUAAAAAACCACGCACACUAAAAAACCUCUUAAAUACUCAUAAUAAAAAAACGUUAUCUUUAAUCAUUUUUAUAAAAAUUCAUCUACUUUCCACUUUUAAUCUGCCAUUUUAAAUUAGAAAAAUUUAAUAUUAGAUUUGAAUACCGCGACCCCGAAAACCUGUAUAAAGGAAUUUUUAUGUUCAAAUACCUUCGUCUUCAACGAAUUAAUCAUUGACAACAAGUAAGUCAUAAUAAUCAAGAUUGGUCGAAUUUGGAAAACUUCUAACAUGAUUUUUGCAAUUUUUCUUGGCAAUAAAAAAGCGGUAUUGAGCGAUAGAUUUCGUCACACUUGAAAUAAAUUUAUCAAUUUCAGAAAUUCCAUUUCUAAGGCAGAAACCUCUCGUGGACGUCUCUCUAACACAAUUUAUAAGUUAUUAUGUCAUUAUGAUUAAUUAUACGUCUUAUUUAUAAGUAUUUGUAAAUUAUCUACGCGCCAUACACGUCACAUCUGAAUGGUCGUAUAUCCGUAUAUCCCCAUGGAUAUUUGCCACAUGCGAUGAUAUAUGGCAAAAAUGUAUGAAUUAUUUAAAGUUUUUCUUUUAAGUAAAAGAAAAUGUAUAUUUUGCACUUUAAAUUUUUUAUAAUAGUAUGAACUAUAAAGUUUUUAUUUGAUAUAAUUUAUUUUUUUAAACAUGGUAAAUAAUAUUUAAUAAAUUAAGUUAUUAAGUGUGGCACUAGAGUUACCUAGAUAAAUGCAAAAUAAGAAAUAAAAAUUAAAAUAAAAUAUUGAUGAAAUGUAAAAAUUAUGUACUUUAUUUUUUAUUUGAAUUGAAUUGUGUUACAUAAUUUUAAUGUAGUUAUUAAUUAAUUAAUUAAAAAUAUUAUCUUUUCUAUGAUAGAAGAAAAUUACCAAAACUUUAUUUUGUUUUUGAAUAAUAUUUCUUAAACAAAAACGCUAAAGAUAUAAUUUUAAAAACGUGACAAUAUAAACUACAAAAUGUCUUCUAUUAGAUAGUAGCAGUAUUUAUAAUACUAUUUUGUAUUUUGUAGUAGCUAAUGUUUUUGCAACAUGAUCCAAGAAGAACAUCUGAUAAGUUGAGUCCCAAAACUCUAGAUACGAGAAUAUUUACUCGAACACAGCGUGGUGCGCGACGUUGAAGGUUACCAUAGAUGAGGUCGCAGACUUUCCAGAUCCAAGCCGCUGCCUCACUGAGAAUCAGGCGGUGGGGUGCACAUGCGCUCAGCUCUGAAUCCGGAAAGUCUGGUUAGCAGAUCUAUGAUCUGUUCUAUAGAGAAGGAGUCCGCUUUACGCUGCACAACGAUUUUAUGGUUUAACUCGCAUUGCGAGGAAAAUGUGAAAAUUAUAUAUAAACAAAACAGUUUUAGGAAGAUUCUAAUAAGUAAAAUGAUUUAAUAUUAUCCAAAGUAGCACCAAUUGUAAUAUAUCUAUGUAUAAUGUGUGAAAGUUAUUUACAAACACUCGUAGAAAGAGAAAUACGGACACAAUCUUGUAUUGUUCAGUCCAUACUUAUAAGGUCUAUGGUAUUAAUACAGUACAAUAUUUAGUUUCUAAAAAAUAGGAAGGUGCCGCUUUAGGGGGGUUAGCUAGUAUUCGCAACUUUCCUCUACUGUUUAAAAUAAACAUUUUCUACAAAUUUUUUAAAGAAAUUCUUGUAAAAGAAAUUUGAAAUACAAUAAAUAUUGUGCGUGAUUA